AUGAAGAGGAGCUUGCUCCUCUGAUUUAGCGGCGGACGGGUGAGUAACACGUGGGUAAUCUGCCUGUAAGACGGGGAUAACUCCGGGAAACCGGGGCUAAUACCGGAUAAUAAGAAGAAACGCAUGUUUCUUUUUUGAAAGUCGGUUUCGGCUGACACUUACAGAUGAGCCCGCGGCGCAUUAGCUAGUUGGUGAGGUAACGGCUCACCAAGGCGACGAUGCGUAGCCGACCUGAGAGGGUGAUCGGCCACACUGGGACUGAGACACGGCCCAGACUCCUACGGGAGGCAGCAGUAGGGAAUCUUCGGCAAUGGGCGAAAGCCUGACCGAGCAACGCCGCGUGAGCGAUGAAGGCCUUCGGGUCGUAAAGCUCUGUUGUUAGAGAAGAACAAGUACGAGAGUAACUGCUCGUACCUUGACGGUACCUAACCAGAAAGCCACGGCUAACUACGUGCCAGCAGCCGCGGUAAUACGUAGGUGGCAAGCGUUAUCCGGAAUUAUUGGGCGUAAAGCGCGCGCAGGCGGUCUCUUAAGUCUGAUGUGAAAGCCCACGGCUCAACCGUGGAGGGUCAUUGGAAACUGGGAGACUUGAGUGCAGGAGAGAAAAGUGGAAUUCCACGUGUAGCGGUGAAAUGCGUAG
rnacentral:rRNA from 1 species